AUACGGAGGGUGCAAGCGUUACUGGGAAUCACUGGGCGUAAAGCGCGCGCAGGCGGCUAUUUAAGUUGGAUGUGAAAGCCUACGGCUCAACCGUAGAACUGCAUCCAAAACUAUUUAGCUAGAGUGUGGGAGAGGAAGAUGGAAUUAGUUGUGUAGGGGUAAAAUCCGUAGAGAUAACUAGGAAUACCAAAAGCGAAGGCAAUCUUCUGGAACACUACUGACGCUGAGGCGCGAAAGCGUGGGGAGCAAACAGGAUUAGAAACCCCAGUAGUCC
rnacentral:rRNA from 1 species